rnacentral:rRNA from 1 species
GACGAACGCUGGCGGCGUGCCUAAUACAUGCAAGUCGAGCGAACCCGGGGUGCUUGCACCCUGAGGGUUAGCGGCGGACGGGUGAGUGACACGUGGGGAACCUGCCUUGCUGUCUGGGAUAACACCGGGAAACCGGUGCUAAUACCGGAUGUCCCCUUUCCGGCACCUGCCGGAGAGGGAAAAGGCGGCUUUGAGCCGCCGCAGCAAGAGGGGCCCGCGGCGCAUUAGUUAGUUGGCAGGGUAACGGCCUCCCAAGGCGACGAUGCGUAGCCGGCCUGAGAGGGUGAUCGGCCACACUGGGACUGAGACACGGCCCAGACUCCUACGGGAGGCAGCAGUAGGGAAUCAUCCGCAAUGGACGAAAGUCUGACGGUGCAACGCCGCGUGAGUGAUGAAGGUUUUCGGAUCGUAAAGCUCUGUUGUGAGGGAAGAAUAGGAUGGGGAGGAAAUGCCCGAUCUGUGACGGUACCUCACCAGAAAGCCCCGGCUAACUACGUGCCAGCAGCCGCGGUAA